CCCCAAACUGGGGGUAUAG
rnacentral:misc_RNA from 1 species